UUUAUUACUCAUCGAUCAGAUAAUGUUUUACCUUUUUAUUGCUGUUUGAAGCAAUUGGUAAUCCGUAAUGUGACGUUAUAUCGAAUAGAUAAUUUUCUUUGUUCAUGUCUUCGCGUCAGUAUGUCACGGAGUUGUACCUUAGUAACGUUAUUUUGUGCGAUUCUAUCUAAAGAUUACGAUAAAUACCCUUUUAUUCUUAUAGAAAAGGACAUUAUUAAGUUAAAUGUGCAUUACAUGUGUAAUUAUGUAUCAGGUGAUGUUAAUAAAAUUGUCAAAUGCUUUUAUAAAAUGCCUGAAAUGGAUCCAGUAAUUUGUGGAAAAUUUUCAAUAUACGAGAAUAGCUCAAAGUUAAAAUGGGUUAUGCCGUGUAUAAAACGCUGUAAUAAAAUCAAGGAAAAUUCAUCGGUUUUCCAGUUCGACUUGCCGAUAAAAUCAUAAAUAAUAAUAGAACAACACUGCAUAAGUUAAAAAGCGUAGUGGUCGACCUCUCCAACAAUUAAAAAAGCAUGAUGGCCGACAACAGCAACAAUUGGAAAGCAUAAUGGCCGACAACCGCAACAAUUAAAAAGCAUAAUGGCCGACUACUGCAACAAUUAAAAGCAUGAUGGCCGACAACCGCAAUAAUAAUGGCUAUUAGGAUUUUAAUCGUAUUAAUUUUACUUACCUUUUUUCAGAUAUACAUACCUACCUACUUAUCCUCACAUUGGACAGCUGAACUUUUUUACUAAAAGGAAUGUUGUUGAAAUUGGGCUGCAGGUCAGGAAUUAAAUGGUGAGUAUAUAAUUAUUGCACACUAAACCUUCUAGGAAAACUUUAAUUGCAGGCAAUUUUUUUAAAGUAAAAAUAAGGUACUUCUAAAAUAUUAUAAUGCAAUUACAUAGUUUCUUAAUUUCAUUCGUUUAAAGUAUAAAAAAAUCUCUUUCUUUUCCGUUUGAUCGAAUUAUAUUAUACCACAGGAAUGCGAUAAGCCUGCAAGACAACAUUAUCGUGAAUUUAUAUACGUAGCUAUAUUUUUAUAAUAGUUUAGACUAUUUUUGUUUUGUCGUUAAUCCUGUUCUUUUUAUUUAACCGUGCAUUUGCGUUGUCAAAGUAUGAAAUUCGAAGAAAUUUAAAAUCUUUGUCAUAAUGUGCAGUUUAAAAUCCCUAAAUCAGUUGAGUUGGUUGACGAUAAUAAGUAAAGUUUAUUUAGAAUUUACGUAGUAAAUCUUCAGAUUUGAUUCCGUAUAGAUUAAACCUUAUAAAACAUAUUAAUUUGCUAAAAAUGAUCAAAUUGUAAACACAGUAAAAUACAUUAUUUUGUG